GACGAACGCUGGCGGCGUGCUUAACACAUGCCAGUCGAACGGAAAGGCCUCUUUCGGGGGUACUCGAGUGGCGAACGGGUGAGUAACACGUGAGUAACCUGCCCUUGACUUUGGGAUAACUUCAGGAAACUGGGGCUAAUACCGGAUAGGAGCUCCUGCUGCAUGGUGGGGGUUGGAAAGUUUCGGCGGUUGGGGAUGGACUCGCGGCUUAUCAGCUUGUUGGUGGGGUAGUGGCUUACCAAGGCUUUGACGGGUAGCCGGCCUGAGAGGGUGACCGGCCACAUUGGGACUGAGAUACGGCCCAGACUCCUACGGGAGGCAGCAGUGGGGAAUAUUGCACAAUGGGUGGAAGCCUGAUGCAGCAACGCCGUGGGCGGGAGGACGGCCUUCGGGUUGUAAACCGCUUUCGCUCAUGACGAAGCUUUGUGUGACGGUAGUGGGUAAAGAAGCACCGGCUAACUACGUG
rnacentral:rRNA from 1 species